ACGAACGCUGGCGGCGUGCCUAAUACAUGCAAGUUGAGCGAUGAAGAUUGGUGCUUGCACCAAUUUGAAGAGCAGCGAACGGGUGAGUAACGCGUGGGGAAUCUGCCUUUGAGCGGGGGACAACAUUUGGAAACGAAUGCUAAUACCGCAUAACAACUUUAAACAUAAGUUUUAAGUUUGAAAGAUGCAAUUGCAUCACUCAAAGAUGAUCCCGCGUUGUAUUAGCUAGUUGGUGAGGUAAAGGCUCACCAAGGCGAUGAUACAUAGCCGACCUGAGAGGGUGAUCGGCCACAUUGGGACUGAGACACGACCCAAACUCCUACGGGAGGCAGCAGUAGGGAAUCUUCGGCAGUAGACGAAAGUCUGACCGAGCAACGCCGCGUGAGUGAAGAAGGUUUUCGGAUCGUAAAACUCUGUUGGUAGAGAAGAACGUUGGUGAGAGUGGAAAGCUCAUCAAGUGACGGUAACUACCCAGAAAGGGACGGCUAACUACGUG
rnacentral:rRNA from 1 species